rnacentral:tRNA from 1 species
GGGGAUUUAGCUUAGCGUCAUAAGCACCUGCCUUGCAAGCACAUGAUCGUGAGUUCAAUCCCCG